GACGUAGGGCGCAAGCGUUGUCCGGAUUUAUUGGGCGUAAAGAGCUCGUAGGCGGUCUGUCGCGUCGAAUGUGAAAACCCGGGGCUCAACCCCGGGCCUGCAUUCGAUACGGGCAGACUAGAGUUCGGUAGGGGAGUCUGGAAUUCCUGGUGUAGCGGUGAAAUGCGCAGAUAUCAGGAGGAACACCGGUGGCGAAGGCGGGACUCUGGGCCGAUACUGACGCUGAGGAGCGAAAGCGUGGGGAGCAAACAGG
rnacentral:rRNA from 1 species